rnacentral:tRNA from 1 species
GGGGUUGUGGCUCAGUGGUAGAGUGCUCACGUAGUGUAGGUGAGGCACUGGGUUCAAUCCUCAGCACCACA